rnacentral:rRNA from 1 species
GACGAACGCUGGCGGCGUGCUUAACACAUGCAAGUCGAACGGUGAAGGGGUCUGCUUUUGUGGGCCCUGGAUGAGUGGCGAACGGGUGAGUCACAAGUGAGUAACCUGCCCCCUUCUUCUGGAUAACCGCAUGAAAGUGUGGCUCAUACGGGAUAUUCUGGGUCUGUGGCAUGAUGGGGCUGGGUAAGGUUGCGCCUUUGGGUGUUUUUGGUGGUGGAUGGGGUGGCGGGCUAUCAGCUUGCUGGUGGGCUGAUGGCCUACCAGGGCGGGGACGAGUAGCGGUCCUGCGGGGGGGGGCGCUCACACGGUGACUGGGCCACGGCGCAGACGCCUACGGGCGGGAGCAGUGGGGGAUACUGCAGUGUGGGCGAUAGCCUGAUGGGGCGACGCCGCGUGAGGGAUGGAGGCCUUCGGGUUGUAAGCCUCUGUCGCCAGUGAAGCAUGCCUGCUCCUUGUGGGGGGGUUGACGGUAGCUGGAUAAGAAGCGCCGGCUAACUACGUG